rnacentral:lncRNA from 1 species
GCGAGAAUGUGAAUGAUAUUGACACAUUUCAUCAGGAUUGAACCGACCUGAAUGGGGAUUGAUUGGAGGGAGAAGGAAGGUAAUUAUUCCUUCGUUGAUCAACAUAUGUAGUAUCUCCUCCAUAGAUUAACCCAAAUAGGUGAAUUCCAUCUGAUUGGCAAAAUCCCGACAGGCUUUAGCAUUUGCUCUCUUCACAACCUUAUCCUCCAUAGCUUUGCUUUUUGAAGGUGGCGAGGAGGCAUUCAUAACAAAAGGAAGGAGACAGGCAUGCUCCUGCCUGAUUAAUUAUCGUGUGAUUUGAUGCUGGUGGGUCACCAGUUCUGCCAAUUGCUCAAU